rnacentral:rRNA from 1 species
CAAUAGCGUAUAUUAAAGUUGUUGCGGUUAAAAAGCUCGUAGUUGGAUUUCUGCCGAGGACGACCGGUCCGCCCUCUGGGUGUGUAUCUGGUUUGGCCUGGGCAUCUUCUUGGAGAACGUAGCUGCACUUGACUGUGUGGUGCGGUGUCCAGGACUUUUACUUUGAGGAAAUUAGAGUGUUUCAAGCAGGCACACGCCUUGAAUACAUUAGCAUGGAAUAAUAAGAUAGGACCUCGGUUCUAUUUUGUUGGUUUCUAGAGCUGAGGUAAUGAUUAAUAGGGAUAGUUGGGGGCAUUCGUAUUUAACUGUCAGAGGUGAAAUUCUUGGAUUUGUUAAAGACGGACUACUGCAAAAGCAUUUGCCAAGGAUGUUUUCAUUGA